UGUCUCUCUCUCUCUACUACAGCAGGUUAAUGUCUCUCUCUCUCUACUUCAGCAGGUUAAUGUCUCUCUCUCUCUACUACAGCAGGUUAAUGUCUCUCUCUCUACUACAGCAGGUUAAUAUCUCUCUCUCUACUACAGCAGGUUAAUGCCUCUCUCUCUCUCUACUAGAGCAGGUUAAUGUCUCUCUCUCUACUACAGCAGGUUAAUGUGUCUCUCUCUCUCUACUACAGCAGGUUAAUGUCUCUCUCUCUACUACAGCAGGUUAAUGUCUCUCUCUCUCUACUUCAGCAGGUUAAUGUCUCUCUCUCUCUACUACAGCAGGUUAAUGUCUCUCU